AUUGAACGCUGGCGGCAGGCCUAACACAUGCAAGUCGAACGAGUGGCGGACGGGUGAGUAAUGUCUGGGAAACUGCCUGAUGGAGGGGGAUAACUACUGGAACCGGUAGCUAAUACCGCAUACCCUCAGAUGUGCCCAGAUGGGAUUAGCGUGUGGGUGGGGUAACGGCUCACCAAGGAGACGGUCCCUAGCUGGUCUGAGAGGUUGACCAGCCAAACUGGAACUGAGACACGGUCCAGACUCCGACGGGAGGCAGCAGUGGGGAAUAUUGCCCAAUGGGCGCAAGCCUGAUGCAGCAAUGCCGCGUGUGUGAAGAAGGCCUUCGGGUUGUAAAGUACUGUCAGCGGGGAGGCGUUACCCGCAGAAGAAGCACCGGCUAACUCCGUGCCAGCAGCCGCGGUAAUUC
rnacentral:rRNA from 1 species